GCUUACGGCCACACCGGCCUGAGUACGCGUGAUCUCGUCCGAUCUCGGAAGCUAAGCAGGGUCGGGCCUGGUUAGUUACUUGGAUGGGAGACCGCCUGGGAAUACCAGGUGCUGUAAGCU
rnacentral:rRNA from 1 species